CGGCCGUCCCCCGCUUCGAGUAGCUCCCUCGCCGCCCCUCGCCGCUGCUCCGUCGCUGUCCGCAUCUCCCUCCCGCCGCGCCGCUGCUUCGCUCGAGGCCGGGGUCGCCUGAGGCUCCAGGGAGGACAGCCCCACCUGAGUUACACAUGAUCAGGCGACGAUAAGGGUGGAGAUCUGCACGUGCACCGAGCAUCUAGGAAGGUUUGCUCGAUCCACAUGUUCCAGUGACGGCAAAACAUCAGAGAUUGAUUUGCGACCAGUAGGCUGGUGAACAGAAGAAGAUGCCGUCUGAGGUUUACCAAAACUGAAUUCCUCUUUAUAAUUCAGCCUACGUGGUUUAAUCCUUGAUGCAGUAUUUCUGACCAUUGAA